UACGGAGGGAGCUAGCGUUGUUCGGAAUUACUGGGCGUAAAGCGCACGUAGGCGGCUUUGUAAGUUAGAGGUGAAAGCCCGGGGCUCAACUCCGGAAUUGCCUUUAAGACUGCAUCGCUCGAAUCCGGGAGAGGUGAGUGGAAUUCCGAGUGUAGAGGUGAAAUUCGUAGAUAUUCGGAAGAACACCAGUGGCGAAGGCGGCUCACUGGACCGGUAUUGACGCUGAGGUGCGAAAGCGUGGGGAGCAAACAGG
rnacentral:rRNA from 1 species